rnacentral:rRNA from 1 species
UGGUGGAGUGAUUUGUCUGGUUAAUUCCGAUAACGAACGAGACCCCGUCCUACUUACUAGACCGAGGAUCCUCUCGUUCUCGCUGUCUUCUUAGAGGGACAACUGCCCAUACCUUGAACUACAUGAAAUGGGGCAAUAACA